rnacentral:rRNA from 1 species
CCUACGGGUGGCAGCAGUGGGGGAUAUUGCACAAUGGGGGAAACCCUGAUGCAGCGACGCCGCGUGGAGGAAGAAGGUCUUCGGAUUGUAAACUCCUGUCCGAGGGGACGAUAAUGACGGUACCCUUGGAGGAAGCACCGGCUAACUACGUGCCAGCAGCCGCGGUAACACGUAGGGUGCAAGCGUUGUCCGGAAUUACUGGGUGUAAAGGGAGCGCAGGCGGACUGUCAAGUUGGGAGUGAAAACUACGGGCUCAACCCGUAACUUGCUUUCAAAACUGGCGGUCUUGAGUGGUGUAGAGGUAGGCGGAAUUCCCGGUGUAGCGGUGGAAUGCGUAGAUAUCGGGAGGAACACCAGUGGCGAAGGCAGCGUACCGGCUCCACACUGACGCUGAGGCACGAAAGCGUGGGUAUCGAACAGGAUUAGAUACCCUGGUAGUC